rnacentral:rRNA from 1 species
AACGAACGCUGGCGGCAGGCUUAACACAUGCAAGUCGAACGCCCCGCAAGGGGAGUGGCAGACGGGUGAGUAACGCGUGGGAAUCUACCUAGUUCUACGGAACAACAGUUGGAAACGACUGCUAAUACCGUAUACGCCCUACGGGGGAAAGAUUUAUCGGAAUUAGAUGAGCCCGCGUAAGAUUAGCUAGUUGGUGAGGU